GACGAGGUGACCGAGCGGUUAAGGUGAUGGACUGCUAAUCCAUUGUACAUUGCACGCAUGGGUUCGAAUCCCAUCCUCGUCG
rnacentral:tRNA from 1 species